UCGUUUUCCUUCCGUUUUCAUUUUUCCACCUUCUCGCGUUUCAUUCUAAUGUCCGCCUUUUCGGUUUCUUCAACUACGAUUUCGUUAAACAGCAGUUCACCUCUCAUUCAUUCUCUUCAAAAUUUCUGGCCUUUCACUUCAAUCUCCUCUCCCUCACUUUCUACCGCAAUGGAACCACUCUGAUUGCAUCCUUCCCUGGCCCGCGAAUCGUCACGAAUUGCCCUCAGAAGCCAACACCUCCAGUCCUCCACCACGCCUGCAGUGGCGCCACCGAUUGAACAACAAAAGCUUUUCGACUGCUCCAGACCCAUCCCUCACUUUCUACCGUGUAGGAUUCACAACUUCGCACGCCGCGGGAUCCCUCAAGAUCUCCACCUCAUGGCUGAUGCCUUCGCGAACUUUACCAUGCUGGUGAACCGUGGCUGCAAGCCGUGUGACCCAGCUCAGAAUGGCUACCCAGAAUCCUUUUUCUUCUUCCUUUCAUCUUAACGCUAACCAUGGAGGUGAGAUAUUUUCUCUGCGUGUUCAAUUUUCCAUAUUUCCUUAUGAAUUUGUUCUUUGUCAGUAUCUCUAUUCUAAAUGAAAAUCACUUUGAUUUGCACAUUCAGAUGCUGUUUUUUUUCGUAUUAUAGAAACCCCUUUAUUUACGGUCUCAUCUUCUCUUUCUGUUCGCCAAGGUAAGAACUAAGCGCUAUCAGGUUUGCUCAGUGUUCAAUUGCUUUGUGUUUUUUUCUCCAUCAGAUUUUGUGUUUAUAGGUCAACAUGGACAUCAACAAAGCAAAUAAAGAGUGUGACGAUUAAAGGCUUCAAAGCAAGUUCAACAUUGCUACCUAUGUCGUUUAGAGAGUUUAUCUUUGUAUUCAUUGAAUCAGAAGUAUGGAUUCAUCCAGCCCGGUUCCUUUAUAGGCAAUGGUGAUCUUCAUUGCUCAUGACACCGGUAAGGAUGAGGGAAGGUGCAGCAAACUCACAGUACAUGUGGUGGCUGAGGAAGGAGAUGUGCCAGCAGCCAGAUUUAUUUGGCUGAGCUCUCUGUCGUUUCAACCUUUAUUGGACUUCAAGUGUGUUUCAUCUUCCUAAACUCUUCCCUUCCUUUAUUUUAUUGACUCUAAUUGCUAAUUUCUAUUUAGGAUUUGGCGAGCACCAUUUCAUUAGUCCUUCAUUGGCAAGGCAAUAAUUUGAAACCGCUUGCAAUUUUCAUUCUCACAGGAUGUUAUUACUUCUAAUAUCAUUCUUAGUGCCAGAUAGCAUGCCCAAUUUCUAAGAUUGUUAGCACCACUGAAAAUAAGAUACUCACCUGAAGAAGCUUAAUUACACAUUUUCAACUUGCUGCCAUCUUGGGACAAGCUAAACAUUUUCAUAAUAGGAAAGAUCUGCAGCUUAAAUAAUUAAGCUGCCUAAAUCAAUGAUUGGACAUUUUAUUGAUGUGAUAUUUAACUAAAUCUGUUAAAUGCAAUGAGAGAUUGAUGUCAUCCUUGCAAUAGCAAUUGUAUUAUUGUUUCCAGUAUAAUUCUACAUGUAUAUAAAAAAUUGUUCAUUUUGACCUUUAUCUUAUGGGUCACUUUCCAUGUCUGAAUGCAUGGUAUGGAAAAAUCUAUUUACUUUGUGGAUCUGGGAGUAACCCUGUUUAUGAUCAACUUAGUGCAUGUUUGCUUUUGAGUUGGGUGCCCUCAAAACCAUGGUUUUUGCAAACACUAUAAGUUAUAGAAAAAAAUCUAAUAAUACAUGAUACAUUGUUAGUUUUAUCCAUCUGUUCUCAUUCUGCAUAUAUCAAAUUGGUUUUCCUUAGUAUAGGAACUUUAGAUGUGUUUAUACUUUAUAUUAUGGUUUGAUAUUUUACCCAAUUAACACAUUAUUUUCUUGGCACAGAUGACUAUGAAUGAAGAAGAGGAAUUAAACACUAGACCACUAUCUGUCCUGAUGAUGAGACGCAUGCUUAUUCAAGGAAGUGCAGAAUGGUUGGUGAAAAUCAUGUAGACAAGCAAGAGGAUUAAAAUGUUGAGAGAACACGCAGGAGCAAUAAAGGAUGAAGUGAGAUCUCAAACUGACUUGCUAGCUGCCAAAGACCAAGCAUCUCUUCCAUUUUUUCUUCACCGAUGCCCUCCUCCUCUGAAAAUUUUCCAUUCUGCGAUAGCCUCUUUCUCUGAUCGACGUCGUGGCAUUACGGCCCCUUUACGGUUGUAAUCGGCAGUCUCAUCCCUCCCCAUGCUCAGAUCCACCCUCUCCUAACCGAGUAUAAGAUCAAUAACAUCAAAAAGCGUGAUACGAAUUCUCACAGCGUCCUCGACUCUGGCCAAUACAGAUUCCAUGGUAGUUUUUCGUCGGCGACUGCGAGUUCGACUUUGUCCAACAAAUUUGCGGGAUGAGGUAGCAGCAUCACCAACCACACGGUUUCCAGCUGAGUAUGUGCAAGAAUUUCAGAAUUGUUUUGACAGAUCUCCUGCAGUUCCUGUGUCUGAAUCCUCGAGUUCAUCAUGGCUGCAAGUUUGACCUCAUCGCCAUCUCAGGAGAAAAAUGAAGAACUUUGCUUAUGCGCAAUAGCAGGGGAUAAAAGAGUUUUAAUGUAUGUUAAGUACAUUGUCAUGUACUAUACUUUCAUGUAGAAUCUUCCAUCCUACUUUCAGGCAACUCUGUUCAUUCUCGUGUUAUUUUUUAUCCUGUUAGAUGUGUUAUUGUAGAUUCCUGCACUCGGGUCACGGUUUAUGGGAGGGAGAGUAUUAACCGAAAAGUACACGCUCAAGCUUCAAUUUAAUUGAAUUUAUAUAGAGAUAGAAAUAAAAAUUCAAAAUGAGGUUUAUAUUUUAGGCUAUAUAUUUAAGCUGAGAUUCUUUUGAUUUUCAAUUUUUUAGGGCACGCUACCUUCACAUUACAAAGAAACAUUCUGAGAAUCAAGGAUGCGGAGGUGUGAGCAUUUCCUUUAUACAUGUGUGUGUUCCCGCCAUUGCUGGAUUAUGGUAACCAGCUUGGACUGAGGUUGGAUACGUUGUUCAGGAGAAUGAAAAUGAGGCAGAAAAUCAGCAAUAACGGGGUGGUUCAGUUAGUUUUUGACAUUAUAGCCAUCUUAUGGUGAAAGGGAAAGGAAAACUAUAAAUCAUUAUCAUAGUGUUUCUGCUUCAGGUUUUAUGCCUUGGUUCACUUUGAUAUGGUUACUCAAGAAGUCAAUUUCUGAAACGAGCUAUGGAGCGGAUGGAAUCAGAUAACAGUUAGGAGUAACAGUGGCAGAGAUAUUGAGGGAGAAAGGGAAGCCAGCCUAGAAACUUGGAAGAGAUUUGAAGCUCAGCAGGAAAUGUCAAAGACCCAAGAGGUACCACACAAUGAGGAUGGAUUUCAAACAUGAAGCAAAGUAAUUGAGCAGCUUUGGUCUCAUUGACCCUGUUGUGUCGAUUGUGAUGUGAUUCAGCUUUCCUUCAAUUUUUCAUUGAUACCUCUUACGAAUUUGUUGGAUGUUUCUAGGUCUUUCUAAUCCUUCUUAUAAUUUUGAUUCUGAAUUACAGUAUUAAUUCAUAAUGAAUUUGCUUAUUAAA